GCAUAUGUCCAAUUCUCGAACAAACGCGAUUUGUUGAUUGAAUUUUCAGUUAUAUAACUAUAAGUAAUUAUAGUGAACCGUGAAUUUAGUUGUAUUGUAAGAAAAAAUUGCGCGUUAUCCGUCUAAACACCAGUGCUACAGGAAUACUUCCAAACCAAGCACAUAUUUUUAUGGUAUCUUUGAGAAAUAUUCUGAAAAAUAUUAGCGAAGUGGUCAAUAAAUAAGCAAGGUAAAUGUUCGAGAAUUUUGGAAAUCACCAAGUGAUCUACAGAACUGAUAGUAAGGGAAUAUCUAACACUCUAUUAUAGUUGAAUUAACUAGAAUUCUGGUUGGUUCAACCAGCAUUUUUUUGGGAAUGAAGUAUUGAAUAGAUAGAGCAUGAUCGUUUCUAGCCCAAAAGAAAGAGCUGUCAUUGGAACACAUCGGAUAGUGAAAACUGUGUUUUUUGUACACAAUUAAUCUAAUAUUUAUGAAAAAAAAAGGCUUUUCAAGUCGGUGAAUAAUGACUGCAACAAGUUAAUAUCAGGAUCACUUCUGGAUUGAACUGCAUGUAUCAAACAUCCAUAACACCAAGUCUUCUCAUAGAACCCAUUUAGGAAGAUUACCGUUUUCGUAGUCCCAACAACGUAGAAUUCCCCCUAAAGUGGUGUGAUUACGAUCUGGAAGUCGUACAAAAAUGACGAGGUUUCCAGGAAUCACUAGAUGCCAAUUGCUCACGACGCACGGAAACAUAAACGUGCUCCAUUGAAUCGGUUCGUUGAAGUUGAAAUAUCCAGGUAGGAAUUUCACUGCUAUCGACGGAAACUAGAAUUCCAGCAAAAACUUGGUGUCCAGCACCUUUAGUUUGAAUAUAAACUCGGCUUCCUCCAGAAAUACUAAAAUCAUGGGCUGGUGAACUUCCUUCAGUUGGUUUCAUCACUGCAUCUAGUUUUUUAAAGUAAAAAUAGAGAUUAAUGAAUUGUUUAUACUCUCAGAAAAUAUCGAAUAUUAAGUGAGAGAAUU